rnacentral:tRNA from 1 species
GACUUGAUACUUUAAGGUAAAAGAUCUGAUUUGCAUUCAGACAAUAAGUUUUAUAAACUUUCAGGUCA